CAGCAUCAGUUACCAUAGCGAUUUAGCUAGACUAAAAGGGAGACACUUCUGUGAAAAGGAAACUACGAGUUUAACCUCGACACAGCUUGCUAAGCCAUUCAUCUCAGUUCACCAGAAAGGCCUCCUGGCAUAUAACUCCCCUUCUUCACCCAAAGUCUUUCAAUUUACUCAGGCAGCACUAAGGUGUUGAUUGAAAUUUCAUUGACUCCACACAAAUCCCUGGGCUCUAAUCCUCAUAAUUCUGGCAUAUUGUAUUGUUGUUAACCUCUCACCGCCUGGUAAAUACAAAUCCUUCCACCUUUCACUUUCUAGUCCAUGGAUAAUUGCUGUAACUUCUCCUCAGAAGCAUUCCCAUGGGGAGUACCAAGAAGCACAUGUGAAACAAACACAGUUGUGCUUGUCACUGUGAUACAGAGAUUCAGUAUACUGGAGAUCGCCUGGCAUGGAAAGAAGAGGUCUGCCAUCAUCGACAGAGCAGACACAGUGGCUAAUUAGACCUUUGCAACCUCCCAGUGGUGAAACACUUAAGAGUUGAAAUUCUAAUCUUUAAGGCUAUUCCCUGCUGAAGCCAAAGCUUGUUAUUUAACAAAAUGGAGAUUGCUUACUUACAGCUGGAUCUCUUUGAGUAGAUGCCAUAAUAUAUAUUAUUUUAAUAAAAACAAGGAAAACUGAUCAAUAGAGACAAAAUGUAUGGCCGUAAUCGAAAUGACUUUCCUGUCUGAGUGUUGGUCAAUCCAAUGAGCAUUGUCAAACAAAUCCUUUUUCUGCUGGCAAAUACAAACAGUUGUAGUCAAUCAUGCUCAUUAAUUAGAAGUUAAUAGGCCUUGACCUUAUUAAGUUAAAAGACACCACUUAUUCAAAGAUUUAAGGGAGUGUGUGGAUACAUUUGAGCCUGUAUACUUUUAAAGUUGUGUGGAUUAAAGAAAAUCUAAAAUAAAUUCAAGCUCAUUAAA